rnacentral:lncRNA from 1 species
AUGCUGUCAGACCUGACGAGAUCUCUUAACGAACUCUGUGAGGAGGUCAGAGCCAUCCGCAAUACCGGCUCCAAUGAAUCGGUAGAUGCUGGGGUACUCCCUUUGGAUUUGCCCUUGCACAACAUUGAGGAGCUAAACAAUGCAGAGGCAGCUCUUCAAUCGCAAGAGGCAAAUAAGGCAAUGAUGAGACGCUUUGCCUUGAUUGGAGGGACCACACUGGAGGUGCGAGUCCGCCGUGUAAUGGCUUAUGCCAUCACAAACGAGCUGGCCUCAGUACUAAACUGGGCAAGGGAAAAAAACAAAGGACCAGACAAAGCAAAAAAGGGCAUUUAAAGAGACAGCGCUGUGCAGAUGCAUAUUUGAUGGCCUGACGCAGCAGUUGGGGGCAAACUCUAUGGCUACGUUCACACUGCAGGCGAAAGCGCAUCAAAUCCGAUUUUUUCGCCCCUAUGCGACCCGUAUCCGAUCUUGGUAUGACAGUGUGAACGGCACAAAUCCGAUAUUUUCAAAUCCGAUCUGGGUCACUUUCGUAUGUGGUACUGAAUCCGAUACGUAUCCGAUGUUUUAGAAAGCGACUGCUGUGUGAACGGUCAAGUCGCAUUAAAUCCGUCUUUUACGUCACUGACACAAGACAGACGCCGAUUAUCAGCGCCGGAGAAGCGCCCGAUAGGACAUUGCGAACGAUUUCCUACCAUCCGGUGAAACUGUUGGGAAGACAAUGUUGGAGAAAUGUGAACAAAUUUAUUUUUACUGUAUUUUCUGCAGAUUCUGACAGAAAUCUGCAACUAUCCUUUGAAGCACCGCUCCUCUAAAACAGCAAAAACGAUCAUUAUUAGGUUAUCUACAUUAUUAUGUAAAUAACAAAAUAACUUAAAGCAAAAAUCAGGAAACAUAAAGUUCGAAGUCUUUAUAUUAAGGGCAAUCAGUCAAACAAUAUUGUUUGCUCUGGGUCUAAACAGAGCGAGUUCUGUGUGACAUCUUCUUUUGCGCAUGCGGGCCGCUUUGAGCGUUCACACUGGAGAGCGUUUGAUGUCGCAUUUUAUGUGUAGUGUGAACAAGCAGACAAAAAAAUCGGAUUUGAUCAAAAAAUCGGAAUUGAGCAUUAAGACCUGCAGUGUGAACGUAGCCUAUGUCUUUGCACAAGCAGUGCAGAAAUGGCUCUGAUACGCCCCAGAUCGUUUGGGUGGCGCAGGACGCACAUCAUCCGUCCCCAUCCCGGAGUAAAAACUACAAAGUUAUGUUAAAAUAUAAAUGUAAAUAGAAAACUGUGUUUUAAUAAAGUAUUUAGCAAACGAAACAUGUCUAUUGACCUUUUUUUGUUUAGUUUUUUUUUCUCUGUUACAUCACAUGCAAUGCUUUCUUAUUUUAGGAUAUUAAUAUUGACAUGAUACAUUGUGAGACAUUUGAGUUAUAAAGGGUGUCCAGUUUGAGGAAUAAGUGCAAUUAUGUGUUUAGGUGGUUUAAGUAUUGAUGGAAACAUGCAGUAGUUUAGUAGUGGUUAAAAUAACUAUAAAGAAAGA